rnacentral:rRNA from 1 species
ACAAACCCGGAGGAAGGUGGGGAUGACGUCAAGUCCUCAUGGCCCUUAUGGGUAGGGCUUCACACGUCAUACAAUGGUCGGUACAGAGGGUUGCCAAGCCGCGAGGUGGAGCCAAUCCCUUAAAGCCGAUCGUAGUCCGGAUCGUAGUCUGCAACUCGACUACGUGAAGUCGGAAUCGCUAGUAAUCGCAGAUCAGCAUGCUGCGGUGAAUACGUUCCCGGGUCUU